AGCAUCCUAAUCAGAGGCUGAGCCAGCAGCCAAUUCACAUGUAAGCUGCAGUUCUUGUAGGACAAGACCAGCACUCAGUUCCGUUCUUCUGGCUUGUGAGCAACCUAACAGAGCUCUGCUAGCUGCUCAAGCAACUUCAUCAAGACCAAGGAAAGGUGGUAAGAGUCCUGGUUCAGAGCGACACAGUCAGAAGCACAGCCUUCUGGAGAGCCCCCAUAAUAAGAUCUUCUACCUGGAGU